UACGAAGGUGGCAAGCGUUGUUCGGAUUCACUGGGCAUAAAGGGCGCGUAGGCUGUCCUGUAAGCGGUGUGUGAAAGCCCGGGGCUCAACCCCGGAACUGCAUACCGAACUGCAGGACUAGAGGACGAGAGGGGAGCAUGGAACUCUAGGUGGAGCGGUGAAAUGCGUAGAUAUCUAGAGGAACGCCGGUGGCGAAAGCGAUGCUCUGGCUCGCCCCUGACGCUGAGGCGCGAAAGCGUGGGUAGCAAACAGG
rnacentral:rRNA from 1 species